rnacentral:lncRNA from 1 species
UGUUUGUUUGUGUUUCAGAUAAAGAGAAGCUUUCUCAGAAAUCCCUCCAGAAGAAUUACCUUUAGAUUUCAAGAUCUCAUUGGCCAGAGCUAGUUAACACGGCAAAUUUUCUCUGCAAGAGAGGCUGGAAAAUGAGGGAACAGCUUGUCGUAACUGAUCAUGACCAGUCACUAUCCAUCAUCACCUGCAGCUGCACUCAUGGCUGCUCAAAACAAAAUCCAGCUUUGAUUGUGAUGAGCUGGGCAUUUCUUCUGGCACUCCUGUGACACUGUGUUGACCUAUCUCAAAUCACCAGCCACUCUGCAUUCAUUGCUGUGGUUUGCCUCCUUGCCUCUGCCACUGGACUAGAAGAGUUUGGAAACGUCCAGAGACCAACUGUCAACUUCACCCUGUAACCCUUCACAGAUGUACACCCAAAGACUCAGAGAUACUCGGUAACUUGCCCAAGGUCACACAGACUGUAAGCAGCUCUCAACACCGCGUGGGACUUCUGCACAAGGAAAUUUCUCUUUGGGAGAAGUCACCAAGUUGCAUCCAGCACAUGGACUGGUUCUUUUACUCAUCCACAGGCUUCGAAGUCAAACAAAGGAAUUGA